rnacentral:rRNA from 1 species
ACGGGAGGCAGCAGUGGGGAAUAUUGCACAAUGGGCGCAAGCCUGAUGCAGCGAUGCCGCGUGAGGGAAGAAGGUUUUCGGAUUGUAAACCUCUGUCAACAGGGACGAAAAUGACGGUACCUGUGAAGGAAGCUCCGGCUAACUACGUGCCAGCAGCCGCGGUAAUACGUAGGGAGCGAGCGUUGUCCGGAAUUACUGGGUGUAAAGGGAGCGUAGGCGGGACUGCAAGUCAGAUGUGAAAUGCCGGGGCUUAACCCCGGAGCUGCAUUUGAAACUGUGGUUCUUGAGUGAAGUAGAGGCAAGCGGAAUUCCUGGUGUAGCGGUGAAAUGCGUAGAUAUCAGGAGGAACACCGGUGGCGAAGGCGGCUUGCUGGGCUUUUACUGACGCUGAGGCUCGAAAGCGUGGGUAGCAAACAGGAUUAGAUACCCUGGUA